ACCUUCUCAGUCAGUAGAGCAUGAGAUUCUUAAUCUCAGGGUUGUGGGUUUGAGCCCCACAUUGGGCA